rnacentral:rRNA from 1 species
UACAGAGGGUGCAAGCGUUGUUCGGAAUUAUUGGGCGUAAGGGCGCGUAGGCGGUGCGGUAAGUCUGUAGUGAAAUCUCUGGGCUCAACUCAGAGUCUGCUGCAGAAACUGCCGUGCUUGAGUGUGGGAGAGGUGAGUGGAAUUCCCGGUGUAGCAGUGAAAUGCGUAGAUAUCGGGAGGAACACCUGUGGCGAAAGCGGCUCACUGGACCACAACUGACGCUGAGGCACGAAAGCUAGGGGAGCAAACAGG